UACGAAGGGGGCUAGCGUUGCUCGGAAUCACCGGGCGUAAAGCGCACGUAGGCGGACUCUUAAGUCGGUGGUGAAAUCCUGGAGCUCAACUCCAGAACUGCCUUCGAUACUGGGAGUCUUGAGUCCGGGAGAGGUGAGUGGAACUGCGAGUGUAGAGGUGAAAUGUGUUGAUAUUGGAAGGAACGCCGGUGGCGAAAGCGGCACACUGGGUCUUAACUGACGCUGAGACACGAAAGCCAGGGGAGCGAACGGG
rnacentral:rRNA from 1 species